rnacentral:rRNA from 1 species
UACGGAAGGCAGCAGUGGGGAAUAUUGCACAAUGGGCGCAAGCCUGAUGCAGCCAUGCCGCGUGUAUGAAGAAGGCCUUCGGGUUGUAAAGUACUUUCAGUCGUGAGGAAGGUGUUAAGGUUAAUAACCUUAGCAAUUGACGUUAGCGACAGAAGAAGCACCGGCUAACUCCGUGCCAGCAGCCGCGGUAAUACGGAGGGUGCGAGCGUUAAAUCGGAAUUACUGGGCGUAAAGGGCACGCAGGCGGUUAAUUAAGUUGGAUGUGAAAUCCCCGGGCUUAACCUGGGAAUGGCAUUCAAGACUGGUUAGCUAGAGUCUUGUAGAGGGGGUAGAAUUCCAUGUGUAGCGGUGAAAUGCGUAGAGAUGUGGAGGAAUACCGGUGGCGAAAGGCGGCCCCUGGACAAAGACUGACGCUCAUGUGCGAAAGCGUGGGGAGCAAACAGGAUUAGAUACC